UGCUAAUACCGGAUAACAACAGAUGAUGCCUAUCAACUGUUUAAAAGAUGGUUCUGCUAUCACUCUUGGAUGGACCUGCGGUGCAUUAGCUAGUUGGUAGGGUAACGGCCUACCAAGGCGAUGAUGCAUAGCCGAGUUGAGAGACUGAUCGGCCACAUUGGGACUGAGACACGGCCCAAACUCCUACGGGAGGCAGCAGAG
rnacentral:rRNA from 1 species